AUUGAACGCUGGCGGCAGGCCUAACACAUGCAAGUCGAGCGGAGCGGCGGACGGGCGAGUAAUGCCUAGGAAUCUGCCUGGUAGUGGGGGAUAACGUACGGAAACGGGCGCUAAUACCGCAUACUAUCAGAUUAGCCUAGGUCGGAUUAGCUGGUUGGUGGGGUAAAGGCCUACCAAGGCGACGAUCCGUAACUGGUCUGAGAGGAUGAUCAGUCCCACUGGAACUGAGACCCGGUCCAGCGUCCUCCAUGAAUCACCAUUAUAUAAUAUUGGACAAUUGGCGAAAGCCUGAUCCAGCCAUGCCGCGUGUGUGAAGAAUUUCUUCGGAUUUUAAAGCACUUUAAGUUGGGAGGCGUUACCAACAGAAUAAGCACCGGCUAACUUCGUGCCAGAAGCCGCGGUAAUAC
rnacentral:rRNA from 1 species